GGGAUUGCCUUAGUAGCGGCGAGUGAAGCGGCAAAAGCUCAAAUUUGAAAUCUGGCGCCUUCGGUGUCCGAGUUGUAAUUUGAAGAUUGUAACCUUGGGGUUGGCUCUUGUCUAUGUUUCUUGGAACAGGACGUCACAGAGGGUGAGAAUCCCGUGCGAUGAGAUGCCCAAUUCUAUGUAAGGUGCUUUCGAAGAGUCGAGUUGUUUGGGAAUGCAGCUCUAAGUGGGUGGUAAAUUCCAUCUAAAGCUAAAUAUUGGCGAGAGACCGAUAGCGAACAAGUACAGUGAUGGAAAGAUGAAAAGAACUUUGAAAAGAGAGUGAAAAAGUACGUGAAAUUGUUGAAAGGGAAGGGUUUGAGAUCAGACUCGAUAUUUUGUGAGCCUUGCCUUCGUGGCGGGGUGACCCGCAGCUUAUCGGGCCAGCAUCGGUUUGGGCGGUAGGAUAAUGGCGUAGGAAUGUGACUUUACUUCGGUGAAGUGUUAUAGCCUGCGUUGAUGCUGCCUGCCUAGACCGAGGACUGCGAUUUUAUCAAGGAUGCUGGCAUAAUGAUCCCAAACCGCCCGUCUUGAAAACACGGACC
rnacentral:rRNA from 1 species